rnacentral:rRNA from 1 species
UACGUAGGGCGCAAGCGUUGUCCGGAAUUAUUGGGCGUAAAGAGCUCGUAGGCGGUUUGUCGCGUCUGUCGUGAAAGCUUGGGGCUUAACCCCAAGUCUGCGGUGGAUACGGGCAGACUAGAGGCAGGUAGGGGAGAACGGAAUUCCCGGUGUAGCGGUGAAAUGCGUAGAUAUCAGGAGGAACACCGGCGGCGAAAGCGCGAGACUGGGCCAUAACUGACGCUGAGGAACGAAAGCCAGGGGAGCGAAAGGG